rnacentral:rRNA from 1 species
AGUGAACGCUGGCGGUAGGCCUAACACAUGCAAGUCGAACGGCAGCACAGUAAGAGCUUGCUCUUACGGGUGGCGAGUGGCGGACGGGUGAGGAAUACAUCGGAAUCUACUUUUUCGUGGGGGAUAACGUAGGGAAACUUACGCUAAUACCGCAUACGACCUACGGGUUAAAGCAGGGGAUCUUCGGACCUUGCGCGAUUGAAUGAGCCGAUGUCGGAUUAGCUAGUUGGCGGGGUAAAGGCCCACCAAGGCGACGAUCCGUAGCUGGUCUGAGAGGAUGAUCAGCCACACUGGAACUGAGACACGGUCCAGACUCCUACGGGAGGCAGCAGUGGGGAAUACUGGACAAUGGGCGCAAGCCUGAUCCAGCCAUACCGCGUGAGUGAAGAAGGCCUUCGGGUUGUAAAGCCCUUUUGUUGGGAAAGAAAAGCAGCAGGUUAAUACCCCGCUGUUCUGACGGUACCCAAAGAAUAAGCACCGGCUAACUUCGUG